rnacentral:rRNA from 1 species
GUGUCAGCAGCCGCGGUAAUACGUAGGGUGCAAGCGUUAAUCGGAAUUACUGGGCGUAAAGCGUGCGCAGGCGGUUUUGUAAGUCUGUUGUGAAAUCCCCGGGCUUAACCUGGGAAUGGCAAUGGAGACUGCAAGGCUAGAGUUUGGCAGAGGGGGGUAGAAUUCCACGUGUAGCAGUGAAAUGCGUAGAGAUGUGGAGGAACACCGAUGGCGAAGGCAGCCCCCUGGGUCAAGACUGACGCUCAUGCACGAAAGCGUGGGGAGCAAACAGGAUUAGAUACCCUGGUAGUCCACGCCCUAAACGAUGUCUACUAGUUGUCGGGUCUUAAUUGACUUGGUAACGCAGCUAACGCGUGAAGUAGACCGCCUGGGGAGUACGGUCGCAAGAUUAAA